AGAUUGAUGGGGCUUUUGAUUCCAUUCUUCGAAGUAUGAAUAACUUUAAUUUCUUAAUUUAGUAGACGUGUCCUCAUCUCUUUGGAUUGGAAAGUCCUUGAUAACAAGCUAAGAGCCUCAAAUACAGCAUUUCAUUACCUCCUUGCCUCCUGCUUUGAAGAUGUACUAAUUGCUUCUUCUCCAUUCCUUCUUAAAAAAAGCCAAGGAGAUUUUUUAAGUUGGAACUAUUUCAGACAUUUGAAGGAAGAUUGGAAAACAUGUUGUUUCCUCAGAUUCAUGUAUGUGAGUCUAAGAUGACUGGAACUUUUAACUGGCUGGAAUACAGAAAAAAUAGGUUCACAUCAUAAUU
rnacentral:lncRNA from 1 species